rnacentral:rRNA from 1 species
UCUGGAGACAGGUGCUGCAUGGCUGUCGUCAGCUCGUGUCGUGAGAUGUUGGGUUAAGUCCCGCAACGAGCGCAACCCUUGCCUUUAGUUGCCAGCAGUUCGGCUGGGCACUCUAAAGGGAACUGCCGGUGUUAAACCGGAGGAAGGUGGGGAUGACGUCAAGUCCUCAUGGCCUUUAUGACCAGGGCUACACACGUACUACAAUGGCCGAUACAAAGGGCAGCGGCACUGCGAGGUGAAGCCAAUCCCGUAAAAUCGGUCUCAGUCCGGAUUGGAGUCUGCAACUCGACUCCAUGAAGUUGGAAUCGCUAGUAAUCGUGGAUCAGCAUGCCACGGUGAAUACGUUCCCGGGCCUU